rnacentral:rRNA from 1 species
UACCUGCAGCUCGAGUGGUAACCGCUAUUAUUGGGCCUAAAGCGUCCGUAGCCGGUUUGGUAAAUAUCUGGGUAAAUCGUGAGGCUUAACUUCACGAAUUUCGGAUAGACUGCCAGACUUGGGAUCGGGGGAGGUCAGAGGUACUCCAGGGGUAGCGGUGAAAUGUUGUAAUCCUUGGAGGACACCGGUAGCGAAGGCGUCUGACUAGAACGAGUCCGACGGUGAGGGACGAAGCCCUGGGGCGCAAACCGGAUUAGAUACCCGGGUAGUCCAGGGUGUAAACAAUGUGGGCUUUGUAUUGGAGGUCCCACGUGGGCGUCCAGUGCAGAAGAGAAGUUGUUAAGCCCACCGCCUGGGAAGUACGGUCGCAAGGCUGAAACUUAAAGGAAUCGGCGGGGGAGCACAGCAACGGGAGGAGCGUGCGGUUU